rnacentral:rRNA from 1 species
CCUACGGGUGGCAGCAGUCGGGAAUAUUGCGCAAUGGAGGAAACUCUGACGCAGUGACGCCGCGUGCAGGAAGAAGGUUUUCGGAUUGUAAACUGCUUUUGUAUUAGGGUAAACACCCCUACGUGUAGGGGCUUGAAAGUAUAAUACGAAUAAGGAUCGGCUAACUCCGUGCCAGCAGCCGCGGUAAUACGGAGGAUCCAAGCGUUAUCCGGAUUUAUUGGGUUUAAAGGGUGCGUAGGCGGUUUGAUAAGUUAGAGGUGAAAUACCGGUGCUCAACACCGGAACUGCCUCUAAUACUGUUGAACUAGAGAGUAGUUGCGGUAGGCGGAAUGUAUGGUGUAGCGGUGAAAUGCUUAGAGAUCAUACAGAACACCGAUUGCGAAGGCAGCUUACCAAACUAUAUCUGACGUUGAGGCACGAAAGCGUGGGUAGCAAACAGGAUUAGAUACCCUUGUAGUC